UGGUGCUAUAGUCAAAAUAUAUUUCCAGUUAUAAAAUUACUAUUUUCAGUAUUUUCUAAAAUCACUGAAACAAUUACUUAGGUGAAAGACCUUAUUCUUGCAAUGAAUGUCAACAUCACUUCACUAAUUGGCCAAAUUACAAUAAACACAUGAAACGCAGACAUGGUAUCAAUACCAGUGUAACUUGUAGGACUAAACAAGACAUACCUCCUACAGGUAUGCCACAUCGUAAUCCACCAGGAACCGUUUUAGCUCCACCACAACCAGUCGUUAUUCCAGAAAAUUUUGUUGAACCUCCACCAACAUUCUACCCAGUAUUAAGUUUAUAUAAUAUUCCUGAGGAACUUUUACAACAAAGAGUCUGAUUUUUAUUAAAACCAGUAGCUAAUAGGCUAAAUUAAUUUCACAAUAUGUAAUAAAGGUAUAAAAUAUA